rnacentral:tRNA from 1 species
GCCUUCGUGGUGUAAAGGAAGCACACUCGGCUGGCAUUCGAAAGAUCCAGGUUCGAGUCCCGGAGAGGCCA